GAUGAAGAACGUAGCGAAAUGCGAUACUUGGUGUGAAUUGCAGAAUCCCGUGAACCAUCGAGUCUUUGAACGCAAGUUGCGCCCGAAGCCAUCAGGUUGAGGGCACGUCUGCCUGGGCGUCACAUAUCGUUGCCCAAUGCCUAUUGCAGUGCAAUAGGAAUUUCUAGGGCGAAUGAUGGCUUCCCGUGAGCGUUGUUGCCUCGCGGUUGGUUGAAAAACGAGUCCUUGGUAGGGUGUGCCAUGGUAGAUGGUGGUCGAGUUAGAACGAUACCGAUCAUGUGCAUGCUCCCCAAAAUAUGGCCUCUAUGACCCACACGCGUCUUUUGACGCUCAUGACGAGACCUCAGGUCAGGCGGGGCUACCCGCUGAAUUUAAGCAUAUCAAUAAGCGGAGGA
rnacentral:misc_RNA from 1 species